ACGGGUGAGUAACACGUGGUCAACCUUCCCUACAGUGGGGGAUAACUGGCCGAAAGGUUAGCUAAUACCGCAUAACAUCUACGAGUGGCAUCAUUUGUAGAUCAAAGGAGCAAUCCGCUGAAGGACGGGACCGCGUCCCAUUAGUUAGUUGGUGGGGUAAUGGCCUACCAAGACUCCGAUGGGUAGCUGGUUUGAGAGAGCGACCAGCCACACUGGGACUGAGAAACGGCCCAG
rnacentral:rRNA from 1 species